rfam:Oryza glumipatula chromosome 2, whole genome shotgun sequence.
UAUAAGGGAUUUUGAGUUUUUGCUUGUAACGUUUAACCACUCGUCUUAUUCAAAUUUUUUUAAAAUUAUUAUUUAUUUUAUUUGUGACUUACUUUAUUAUCCACAGUACUUUAAGCACAACUUUUCGUUUUUUAUAUUUGUAAAAAAAAAUUGAAUAAGACGAGUGGUUAAACGUUACAAGCAAAAACUCAAAAUCUCCCUUAUA